UACGUAGGGUGCAAGCGUUGUCCGGAAUUAUUGGGCGUAAAGAGCUCGUAGGCGGUCUGUCACGUCGGCUGUGAAAACCCGAGGCUCAACCUCGGCCUGCAGUCGAUACGGGCAAACUAGAGUACUGCAGGGAGACUGGAAUUCCUGGUGUAGCGGUGAAAUGCGCAGAUAUCAGGAGGAACACCAGUGGCGAAGGCGGCUUCUGGACGGUAACUGACG
rnacentral:rRNA from 1 species